GAUGAACGCUGGCGGCGUGCCUAAUACAUGCAAGUCGAGCGGACGGACGAGAAGCUUGCUUGUCUGAUGUUAGCGGCGGGCGGGUGAGUAACACGUGGAUACCCUACCUAUAAGACUGGGAUAACUUCGGGAAAGCGGAUCUAAUACCGGAUGAUAUUUUGAACCGCAUGGUUCUAAAGUGAAAGACGGUCUUGCUGUCACUUAUAGAUGGUUCCGCGCUGCAUUAGCUAGUUGGUAAGGUAACGGCUUACCGAGGCAACGAUGCAUAGCCGAUCUGAGAGGGUGAUCGGCCACACUGGAACUGAGACACGGUCCAGACUCCUACGGGAGGCAGCAGUAGGGAAUAUUCCGCAAUGGGCGAAAGCCUGACGCAGCAACGCCGCGUGAGUGAUGAAGGUCUUCGGAUCGUAAAACUCUGUUAUUAGGGAAGAACAUAUGUGUAAGUAACUGUGCCCAUCUUGACGGUACCUAAAGAGAAAGCAACGGCUAACUACGUG
rnacentral:rRNA from 1 species